rnacentral:rRNA from 1 species
UCGGGAAUUUUGGGCAAUGGGGGGAAACCCUGACCCAGCAACGCCGCGUGAAGGAUGAAGUAUUUCGGUAUGUAAACUUCGAAAGAAUAGGAAGAAUAAAUGACGGUACUAUUUAUAAGGUCCGGCUAACUACGUGCCAGCAGCCGCGGUAAUACGUAGGGACCAAGCGUUGUUCGGAUUUACUGGGCGUAAAGGGCGCGUAGGCGGCAUGACAAGUCACUUGUGAAAUCUCUGGGCUUAACCCAGAACGGCCAAGUGAUACUGUCGCGCUAGAGUGCAGAAGGGGCAAUCGGAAUUCUUGGUGUAGCGGUGAAAUGCGUAGAUAUCAAGAGGAACACCUGAGGUGAAGACGGGUUGCUGGGCUGACACUGACGCUGAGGCGCGAAAGCC